AAUCCACCAAAGCUUGCGCCUGCUUGAAAGAUGAGAUAGGGGCGCCUGCUUUAACCUCUUCCACCGGAGCUGCAUCCUUGAUCUGAAUUGACUCGAAGGCCUGACAGAGAGUCUCAUGAAUUUCACCUUCUACCUCUACAUACUUGAAUGUAGCCAGGUUACUGACCAGGAUGUCCUCCUCACCACAGACAGUGAUAAUUCUUCCAUUGACCGGGAACUUGAUCUUCUGAUGCAGUGUUGAAGAGACUGCCCCAGCAUUGUGGAUCCAAGGACGAC
rnacentral:lncRNA from 1 species